GGUGCUUGCAUCAUGAUUUACAUUUGAGUGAGUGGCGAACUGGUGAGUAACACGUGGGAAACCUGCCCAGAAGCGGGGGAUAACACCUGGAAACAGAUGCUAAUACCGCAUAACAACUUGGACCGCAUGGUCCGAGCUUGAAAGAUGGCUUCGGCUAUCACUUUUGGAUGGUCCCGCGGCGUAUUAGCUAGAUGGUGGGGUAACGGCUCACCAUGGCAAUGAUACGUAGCCGACCUGAGAGGGUAAUCGGCCACAUUGGGACUGAGACACGGCCCAAACUCCUACGGGAGGCAGCAGUAGGGAAUCUUCCACAAUGGACGAAAGUCUGAUGGAGCAACGCCGCGUGAGUGAAGAAGGGUUUCGGCUCGUAAAACUCUGUUGUUAAAGAAGAACAUAUCUGAGAGUAACUGUUCAGGUAUUGACGGUAUUUAACCAGAAAGCCACGGCUAACUACGUGCCAGCAGCCGCGGUAAUACGUAGGUGGCAAGCGUUGUCCGGAUUUAUUGGGCGUAAAGCGAGCGCAGGCGGUUUUUUAAGUCUGAUGUGAAAGCCUUCGGCUCAACCGAAGAAGUGCAUCGGAAACUGGGAAACUUGAGUGCAGAAGAGGACAGUGGAACUCCAUGUGUAGCGGUGAAAUGCGUAGAUAUAUGGAAGAACACCAGUGGCGAAGGCGGCUGUCUGGUCUGUAACUGACGCUGAGGCUCGAAAGUAUGGGUAGCAAACAGGAUUAGAUACCCUGGUAGUCCAUACCGUAAACGAUGAAUGCUAAGUGUUUGGAGGGUUUCCGCCCCUUCACUGCUGCAGCUAACGCAUUAAACAUUCCGCCUGGGGAGUACGGCCGCAAGGCUGAAACUCAAAGGAAUUGACGGUGGCCCGCACAAACCGGUGGAGCAUGUGGUUUUAUUUCUAAUCUACCCCGAAGAACCCUUACCAAGGUCUUUGACCUAC
rnacentral:rRNA from 1 species